UAAGCAUUUUCUGUGAGUCGUGAGUAC
rnacentral:piRNA from 1 species